GGUGAGAUGGCCGAGUUGGUUAUGGCGCCAGGUUAAGGUCUUCUCUUAACAUCUAAUUCCUGGUCACGAAAGUGGCGUGGGUUCGAGUCCCACUCUCAUCA